AUCCCGCAUCCCAUCUCUUCUCAUAGAAUCGCCAUCCCAUCUCAUUCUGCUCGUUCUGCUGGAUCAAUCAUCAACGCCUUUCAUAGAAGGAGAGGAUCCAAAGCGGGAAGAUAGAAGAUUUCUAAAGACAAGAAGGGACAAUCCAUUUCAGUAAAAGAAAAAAGAUGGCAAUUGACUUACUGUCAGAUAUAAGACCUGGACAAUAUCAUUGGACUAUAUGUGUGAGAAUAUCAAGAGUGUGGGAAUUCCGUGGAAGAUCAGAUGAUGAGGAGG